rnacentral:rRNA from 1 species
UAGAGGAAGUAAAAGUCGUAACAAGGUUUCCGUAGGUGAACCUGCGGAAGGAUCAUUAUCGUACAAGGAAAGGCUCUAGGCUGUCGCUGGCUAGGUGAUUCUAGCAUUCGUGCACGUCUAUUCCUUUUCUAAUUUCAACUACACCUGUGCACCUAUUGUAGAUCUUUAUUGAUCUAUGUUUAAUCUCACACCUAAAUCGUAUGUCAUUAGAAUGUAAACACAAAUAUUACAACUUUCAGCAAUGGAUCUCUUGGCUCUUGCAUCGAUGAAGAACGCAGCGAAUUGCGAUAAGUAAUGUGAAUUGCAGAUUUUCAGUGAAUCAUCGAAUCUUUGAACGCACCUUGCGCUCCUUGGUAUUCCGAGGAGCAUGCCUGUUUGAGUGUCAUUUAAUUAUCAACCUAUAUAUUUUGUAUAUAUAGGCUUGGACUUGGGAAUUGCUGGCUUUUGAUAGUCAGCUGUCCUUAAAAGCAUUAGUGGAGUCGUGCACGGCCUCUGACGUGAUAAUGAUCGUUGGUGGGCUGGAAGCGUACUUCAGGUUCAGGUCAGGACGACCUAGUUAUCACUAACGAAAGUUCUUCCUAUUCCGAUGAAUUUGACCUCAAAUCAGGUAGGACUACCCGCUGAACUUAAGCAUAUCAAUAAGCCG